AGUUAAUGAACUUGAUUUAAGCCUAUGUUUUGAAAACAUAUUAAAGAAAUAUAAAUUUUCUAUUAACUU
rnacentral:tRNA from 1 species